AAGCUUGUUGAUGUGGCCCUCC
rnacentral:miRNA from 1 species